UCUCUUCAACUUGUGCUCCUUUCAGCAGAUGCAUCCAUUUUUCAGUUAAGAGCAUGAAUAUUUCAAGGCUGAGCGACACAUCCAGUGAAGAAUGAAAAGGCAGGAGUACGGGAUGCUGAGGCUGGAUGUCCAGUGAGGUCGUUGUAUUCUCAGGGCUCUGAGUCGAUCCCAACAGGACUAUUCGGGUUGUUUCGCCCUUCAUCUGAGCAGGCUUCAUCAGUUCAUGUUCUUACGGUAGAGUCUCUCUGAAGCUCCGUUGCAACCUGCUGAUGACAAUCUGUGGCACUCUGAGCUCGGAGAUUGUUCAUUCUAAGAUCACCCUGUUUGAAGACUCAAAGACCUUCAGCUGGAUAUUUUCAGCGAUGCUACAGAAUCCUCUGUAGUUGAACCAUCACAGCCUACUGCAGCAUCAUCACCAAAAUCACACGUCACCAAUAUCACAGCUUUCACAUCCAGAGGACCAUUCAUCAUACUCAGGAAAUGAUUCAGAUGCUACCAUCACACUGCCAUCAACUAAAAAGAGGUGCCAGAGGCUCCACACAAAGAUGGGCCACGAUGAAGCAUGACAGAAUAAAUCUACCCACCCUUGAGGACUUGCACGCUGCCAGAACUAAGACAAGGGCGUGCAAAAUCCUCUCGGACCCUCCCCACCCUGGUCACCAGCUCUUCCAGCUCCUUCCCUCAGUAGGUGAAAAGUGUUCUGAGGACUCAUCCCAAGGGGAAAGUAGUACUUCUGGAGUUUGGAAAAACAAAAACAAUGUCUGCUGUAACCCACGGACUUAUGGGCAACACUUUGGUCACAGAGAUGAUAGAAUCAUAUGGAAGACUUCCACCAAAAUAUAUACGAAUAUCUUAUGCAAGAGGCAUUGUGGCACUGUUUCCUUAUCUUGAAGACUCAUUCUCAAGUAACGGAUAUAGCAUUGCAAUCUGUGUGGUGAGCAUCUGAUGCAGUGUUAUGUGAAGCACUGCACUUGGAAAUUAACACAGACGUGGCUGUAACCAAAUGGAUAAAAAGACCUGUUCAGUCAAGAAACACCUGACCUACAAUUCCAUUACAACAUGCUGGCAAUUUUUUUUUUGACCUGAGUUGGUUGUCACAUUUCUGUGGGGCCAAUUAUGUAUUACUCGUGCACUCACCGUAGUUGUCUCGCCAUGCUGCACUAUUUGCAUAUAUUGGCCACUCAUGCCAGAGUAGCAUCUGCUCCAUUUGCACACUGAUUGAGGAGUAUCUGUAACAUUUGCACAACCAACAUUGUCCCAGAUGAUCGCACUACUCGUCACUUUAAACCGCAUACACUCCUUGAAGUCUCGGCGCCCUUUGCAGUAUGGUCAUUGCACCGGACUAUUGCUAUAUUAGUCAUUCGAACUGCUUUAAGUGCGAGAGGACUUUUUGCACAAUUGUCAAAAAAAAAAAAAAAAAAGUACCAGCAUUA